UUUCCGUAGGUGAACCUGCGGAAGGAUCAUUAAGGAAAGAAACAGGAGCGCUCUUUUUAGAGGCUUCGACCCCUUUCACUUUUCCAUACACCCGUGCACUCGGGGGCGAAAUACAUUGGCCGACGAGGCCUCUGUCUCGCUUUCCCGCCCUUUACAAACGCAUAAAGUUGUCGUGGAUGUAAUAUAAACUUUAAAACAAAUAAAACUUUCAACAACGGAUCUCUUGGCUCUCGCAUCGAUGAAGAACGCAGC
rnacentral:misc_RNA from 1 species